rnacentral:rRNA from 1 species
GACGAACGCUGGCGGCGUGCUUAACACAUGCAAGUCGAACGGAAAGGCCUGCUUUCCCUUGUGGAUUGCGGGUACUCGAGUGGCGAACGGGUGAGUAACACGUGAGUGAUCUGCCCCCAACUUGGGUAUAAGCCUGGGAAACUGGGUCUAAUUCCCGAUAGGACUGCAGGGUGGUGCCUGUGGUGGAAAACGAUUUUCUAGUGGUUGGGGAUGAGCUCGCGGCCUAUCAGCUUGUUGGUGGGGUAAUGGCCUACCAAGGCGGCGACGGGUAGCCGGCCUGAGAGGGUGGACGGCCACAUUGGGACUGGGAUACGGCCCAGACUCCUACGGGAGGCAGCAGUGGGGAAUAGUGCACAAUGGGCGGAAGCCUGAUGCAGCGACGCCGCGUGGGGGAUGACGGCCUUCGGGUUGUAAACUCCUUUCGACCGCGAGGAAGCCACCUGGUUGGAAGGGUGGUGACGGUAGUGGUAGAAGAAGCACCGGCUAACUACGUG